UCAAAGUCAAUGUGUCAUUUCAGCGCAUGUGUUUGAGAAACGCUGACUCAGUCUCGCGAAAUACCUGAUUUCGAGAGCGUAUGUCAAUUAACUACGACGUCACGAACCAAUAAGCCGCAGACUACUCAGUUGCUAUCAGACAAAUAUAUAGUAUAAGUAUGUAUGCAUGUACAUACUCAAUUGUCACUUUGCACACUGCACUAAAGUGUUAUCGAACGGUAAGACGUGAAAGACGGAGUCGAAACGACGACAUACAUAUCUCGAAUCAACCAGAAAGAAGAGUAAGUUCUGAGAAGGUAGAAAACGAGCCUCUAUAAAAGCAUAACACAACCGGCUUUGGUGAACAGUGAGCGAACGUUUGCGUUAAACAAAGUACAAAGCGUUUUCUUAUCGCAAUUCAGUGCUGAAGAGUUUCUCCAAUAACAAAAAAAAUACAAUAAAAUAUAGUGAAAAUGCCGUGCCCCUGUGGAACUGGUUGUAAAUGUGGCACUCAAGGCCAAGGCAGUUGCGGUUGCGGCAGCGGAUCCUGCCAAUGUGGCAGUGGCAAAGGUUGUUGCGGCAAAUAAAUUGGUGUGGCAGUAUUGAGUGCUACUUGCACUAUGUAGCACAAAGUGGAAUGUGUUGCUAAUAACCAUGAAUUAUCGAAUCCACAUCCAUUUGUUAAACAUUCAAAAGAAAAUUAUUAGUAUUAAAUUCACCACAUUUUUUAGUAAUGUAAAUUAAAUUAUAGCUUACACAUUAGAUAUUUCAAUUAUGAAGCGUAUGCAGUGCAUAUUUGCCCACAAUAAAUGUUUAUUUUGAAAA